GACGAACGCUGGCGGCGUGCCUAAUACAUGCAAGUCGAACGCAGUGGGGACGGGUGAGUAACACGUGGGUAACCUCCCAUCAGAGGGGAUAACACUUGGAAACAGGUGCUAAACCGAUACUGAUGGAUGAACCCGCGGUGCAUUAGCGAGUUGGUGAGGUAACGGCGAACCAAGGCCACGAUGCAGAACCGCCCGGAGAGGGUGAUCCGCAACACUGGGAGUGAUACACGGCCCAGAUUCCUACGGGAGGCAGCAGUAGUGAAUCUUCGGCAAUGGACGAAAGUCUGACCGAGCAACGCCGCGUGAGUGAAGAAGGUUUUCGGAUCGUAAAACUCUGUUGUUAGAGAAGCGGUAUCUAACCAGAAAGCAACGGCUAACUACGUGCCAGCAGCCGCGGUAAUUC
rnacentral:rRNA from 1 species